rnacentral:rRNA from 1 species
UACGUAGGGCGCAAGCGUUGUCCGGAAUUAUUGGGCGUAAAGAGCUCGUAGGCGGUUUGUCGCGUCUGCUGUGAAAACCUAAGGCUCAACCUUGGGCUUGCAGUGGGUACGGGCAGACUAGAGUGCGGUAGGGGGUGACUGGAAUUCCUGGUGUAGCGGUGGAAUGCGCAGAUAUCAGGAGGAACACCGAUGGCGAAGGCAGGUCACUGGGCCGCAACUGACGCUGGAGGCGCGGACA